GGCAGGUGCUUCAGCAACAGAGAGUAGAAGGGCAAAGAAAGGAAGCCCAAGCGCAAGACAAGCCGUGUGACAGCUGACGAAACGAUGCAGAGCUCACCUCUGAGCAGGCUGAGUCUCUGUGCUCACCUGCCCCUGAGAAAUGAUGAUGAAUCAGAAACUGCCAAAUGCAACACCUCAUUCUGGAUGUGGAAUCCGGGAGUCUUGACUGCUGUAUAUUCUCCUACAAAUGAACCUUGUUUGGAAGUUCUAGCAGGAGCUACUUGUACACCUGUGAACAAGGAAAGGUCCUCCUCUAUUGGGGAAGAUCGUCUUCUUCAACCAAGCACACAGCACAUGGAGCUGUGUAGAAGGAAGGGGCCACCCACCUAGCCAGCCAGAUCAGCCAAAUCAACCCUGGGGAUCAAUGUGAUGACAAGUGUCACAGCCAGAUCACCCUCACAUCCUCCAUCUCUUUAUGAAAUGUCAACUUUGAAUGGUGCCAACAUCUUUCUGCACCCUCUACCUCUGCUUCCUUUGACCAAGUAGGAUGUGCAUGGACUGCUUCUGGGCCAUGAUAUGGAUGGGGAAGGACCUAUGUGUCUGCUCCACCCAGGAUCAGCAGCCCAGCAUUUUUUCUGCUGUUCAUCUGGUGCCUGAAGUGGAUGGGAACAAACAAACAACAGCAUUUAUUGAUGGGGUCCCAAUGGGACCUUUUUUUCUACAUGCCUAUGCCAUGGGAUUAAACAUCAUCAGAGUUAGAAUUUGAGACAAGGUUGUUUUUAUGUUCACUCCAGUGACAAAAUUUCAACAGAUAUAACAAUGCCUGGAAACAGUGCCUGGGACAUGGAAAGUCACAUCUCAGAGGAGCCAGCCAAUAUUUCAAAAUCUAAGGGCCUGUCCCACUCCAUCUACAACCAUAAUCAUCUUUCUCAUCCCUAAUAAAUCUCCAAGCAACCACACACUAUUACUAGUGAGAAAAGCACAGAAAUGUACACCCCAAGAGAAAGGAUAUCUUUAAGGCACUAACCAGAGCUGGUUUGAGUCACCUGGAUACAGCACUGUAUUUUUGUGGUUUUAUUUUUUCUCAACCUUCUAAAUUCAGGGUUAUCUCGAGAUGGGGAGACAAGAAAGCAACAAGUAAUCCACAAAGAGGGAAAUCUAAAAGGAAGGAGAUAAGUUGUGAGCAAAGGACAGUGAGAGACUGAUUCUAAGGAUGGUGAAGACCAAGAGCAGAAAUGCUGUUUUAAUAAGUAAAACAUUUGCCACAUAUCCUAUUAGAAUCUUUGUCCUCCUUGCCUUUAACCCUGCCUCUUAGGGAUGGAGAAAGGGAGGUGCCAUCAGCAUGGGAAGUCACCCCUCAGUGCAGCUCUCCCUCCCUGAGCCUGGCCAUUCCCUUCGCCCCCAGCUCCCGGUGGAAAUCUGUUAUCACAGUACUUGCCACACUACAUUGAAGUUGGCUCUUUCUCAUGGAAACACAUCAGUCCUCUCAAGCAUAUUACCAACUUAUUCAUCUUUAUACCUUCGGAGCCCAGUCCCUUGUUGAAGAAAUAUUGUUUGAAAAGAGCUGUAAAAUUUCCUCCAUAAAACACAGUAAAAAGAUAUUUUCCAUUU